GAAACCUGUCACGUAGUUUCGUCUUUCUUGUUGUUGCAUCUUAGUUAAGCUGGAUUUUUUUGGAUUUUCUGUUGUUUCUCAAGUGUACAAGGAAUAAUCUGCAAUUUGUAUUACCUGAGUUAUUUAGAACUGGUGAUUGUUGUGGUUGAAUGGAAAGAGACUUUGUAUCGUGGUUCCGUCGCCAGUAUCCUGAUCUGCAAUCUGCCCAUUCGAACUUUUCUAGUCGUGGACUCAAUAUUGGGCAGCAGAAUUCUGUUCCUAUUUACAUGCCUCCGUAUGCAAAUGAGGUUCCAGUAAAAGGGAGUUCUCCCUUGUCGUUUUCGGGGUUGCUAGAACCAAAGGCAAGCCAACCAACUGAAGCUCACAAUUGGUUCUACUGUUUACCACAGUUGCAACAGGGUUUUGCUCCUGUUUUGAGCACUGUACCGAACGAGAAGUUUGCUCCUCAGUCUGUUGACAAUUACGGGGUAAAUGAAGAAGCCAAUGCUGGCCCCGGAUUCGCGCAGAAAAGAUUUCUUGUUUUUGAUCAAUCUGGUGAUCAAACAACUUUACUUUACAGUUCUCCAAAUGGUACUCCUGUGCAAUGCCUACCCUCUUGGCAUCCAAAAUCCGCUGCACCUUGUCAUCUGAUUAAGGAAGGCCAACAGAUUUUAGGGAACGGAAU
rnacentral:misc_RNA from 1 species